ACCGUUGAGGUUUAUUCGGGCAUGCAUUUAGUUGCUCCAACAGCCUAACCUAUAGAAAUUGAGUUGCAAACCAGCGGUUUAAUGCGUGAAACUGUAACGCACUAAUGGACCUCUCAAGACAAACGACAUUAAACAUGAUUAAUUGUGGCCGGCAAGGCGACGAUCCGGCUGCACACACUCCUAUAGAGGUCCACUAGAUGAUAGAAUAGUUAUUGCUACACAUAGAUAAAUAAACUACAACAGGCCUACAGGCUCCAUUGAAAGGCAGUUUAACACAGCCACAUCAGGAUGCCUAUAAAAAUAAUAAAAACAGCCCUGACAAUAAUGUUAACAAUGAUGACAUAAAAAUAUUAGACAUAGGCUACAGGGUUUUCCGGAGCGCGCAGACAUUUGCGUGUCAGUGUGGGUGAGCGCGCAUUUGUAUGUAUAAAAUGCAUGUGUGCGUGUGCAUGUUAGGGGAGAGAGAGAGAGGGAAAGAGAGAGAGGGGGGAGAGAGAGAGAGCGAGUGAGAGAGAGAUUUUACUCAUUGUAAUGCACAGAACGACCUGCCCUCUUUUGGAAAAAAAGCCAGAAAGCGCAGCCAUGCUUUGCAGAGGCUCCAGCAUCGCUCUCAUUGGUAGUAUCAGCUUCACACCAAACGGAGUCUUGUCCGCUGCUACACCGAAGAAACCGGGAAUACAAGCGACUACCUCCGCGAUGCAGACAUCCGCAGCCCAGUAAUAAUACUAAAAAUGAAGUGAAAAACAUCUGAGCACGGAUAAAUAUCAGCAGACCCACUGUGUGCACGGAUCCACCAUAUGGCGUGGACCAGAUCAUGGUGCAUUAUGGGAUAAUGGAGGACUUUUAUGCUUUCUACAAUUCUGGACAAAGCAUUCGACGGGAAAAGAUCAACGGAGUCAUUUUUGCCUCCAAAAGCGGCCUGGGAUUCAUUAUUUUCCCGCAGAACGAUCUGCAGUAUUUUGCGUAAAAGUUAUUGCUGUUCUAACCUAACUUCGAUCUUUUUCUCUUUGAAUGCUUUUGUACAUUAUAGGCCUGCAAAACAACUGGGACAGGAUCUGAUCCCUUUGGACCCGUGUGGGAUAUUUGGAUAUUUAUGUUUUUUUUUUUUUGGCCACAGCUGAUAUACAAAUACCGUUUUAGUCGCAUCAUAGGCCUCCGAGGCUGCAUAGUAAUUUUACUAUAUGUGAAAUAUCAUUUUUAUGGGAGAUAUUUCCCCGGUUCCCACAGUAGUGAAUGCAGCUGGUGAACCUGUACACACUGACACACACACACACACACACACACACACACACACACACACACACACACACACACACACACACAGAUGAGCGGGUUGUGUCUCUCCGUGUUCACAGCGGACCUUGAUUUAAUGUCUUACAAUUAAGGCACGCGGUGAAUGCCAAGAGAUGAUCCUUCUGACUUCGGUUGUGCGUCGAAAUAAGAACCACCUUCUACAUCUUUAGACCAUUUCCAUUUAACCUACACUGGUGAAGCUCGGAUCUAAAGCGGUGAUAGUGUGUGUGUUUUAUUUCGACUUGUACCGUGUUAUGUAUGUCUGCUGUUGUUUCCAGGUCUUCUAACAGAAUAAAGUCAAUACACAAUGA